AUGUCCCAAGGAUGCCCAAGCCCAUCUUCUGAUCCUAGCGCAGAGCAGCUCCGGACAGAUGACAGUAGCUGUCCUCCUUCAAUACUGAGGAAAAGGCCACCUGUGGACCAGGAUAUGGGGGAAAAGCGGAAAGCAGAGAGAAGGGUUCGAUUUCGUGAGCCAGAAGAAGUCAUUGAACAUGUUAUUUCCUGCUGUGACUACGUAGCGGUAAAUGACAGGUCAUCACCUGGAUUGCCUAAGCUCCUGGGGCUAUCAUUUUGUGUGAUACUGAUCCUGGUCGCCAGCCUCUUCUACACCAGCAUGAAGCAAGAUGCCAAAGUCCUGGAGGAGUUUCAAUCCCGACUUGUUAUCUUCUUUCUUCAAAUAAGACACAUUGCUCAUAAAUGCUGGACUUGGUUUACAAGGUAGUAUCGAAGUCCUACAUCUGCAAGAAGGCAGCAAUGAUAACCACCAUGUGUCAGAGUGAACCUCCCAGCCUACUCAGUCCAUAUGUAAAGAACGCAUGAGUAACCACCUUGAAGAGCAAAAAAAAAAAAAAACAAAAAAACCCACCCAUUCUGUGCACUUUCUAGCAUCUACUUCUUGUUUUGUUUUUUUUUUUUUAAUAUAUAUUUUUUAAUAUUUCUGAAUGAUAGUAAAAGCACUAAGAGGACCCACCAAACUGACGUUCCAUCAUCCUUAACAGCAAACAAGGGUCUGAAUUUUGUCCCCGAGAGAGAUUAUAAACUGCUGGUAGGAGGAGCAGAAGCAGAGAGAGAAAUUCAUUCAUCUGCACAUGCAGAAGCACACUGAAGUCUCCUGAGUCUCAGGUCAAAGAAUAAACACCAAACUAUUUUUCUUCCCA
rnacentral:lncRNA from 1 species